GAUGAACGCUGGCGGCGUGCCUAAUACAUGCAAGUCGAGCGAACGGACGAGAAGCUUGCUUCUCUGAUGUUAGCGGCGGACGGGUGAGUAACACGUGGAUAACCUACCUAUAAGACUGGGAUAACUUCGGGAAACCGGAGCUAAUACCGGAUAAUAUUUUGAACCGCAUGGUUCAAAAGUGAAAGACGGUCUUGCUGUCACUUAUAGAUGGAUCCGCGCUGCAUUAGCUAGUUGGUAAGGUAACGGCUCACCAAGGCAACGAUGCAUAGCCGACCUGAGAGGGUGAUCGGCCACACUGGAACUGAGACACGGUCCAGACUCCUACGGGAGGCAGCAGUAGGGAAUCUUCCGCAAUGGGCGAAAGCCUGACGGAGCAACGCCGCGUGAGUGAUGAAGGUCUUCGGAUCGUAAAACUCUGUUAUUAGGGAAGAACAUAUGUGUAAGUAACUGUGCACAUCUUGACGGUACCUAAUCAGAAAGCCACGGCUAACUACGUGCCAGCAGCCGCGGUAAUACGUAGGUGGCAAGCGUUAUCCGGAAUUAUUGGGCGUAAAGCGCGCGUAGGCGGUUUUUUAAGUCUGAUGUGAAAGCCCACGGCUCAACCGUGGAGGGUCAUUGGAAACUGGAAAACUUGAGUGCAGAAGAGGAAAGUGGAAUUCCAUGUGUAGCGGUGAAAUGCGCAGAGAUAUGGAGGAACACCAGUGGCGAAGGCGACUUUCUGGUCUGUAACUGACGCUGAUGUGCGAAAGCGUGGGGAUCAAACAGGAUUAGAUACCCUGGUAGUCCACGCCGUAAACGAUGAGUGCUGAGUGUUAGGGGGUUUCCGCCCCUUAGUGCUGCAGCUAACGCAUUAAGCACUCCGCCUGGGGAGUACGACCGCAAGGUUGAAACUCAAAGGAAUUGACGGGGACCCGCACAAGCGGUGGAGCAUGUGGUUUAAUUCGAAGCAACGCGAAGAACCUUACCAAAUCUUGACAUCCUUUGACAACUCUAGAGAUAGAGCUUUCCCCUUCGGGGGACAAAGUGACAGGUGGUGCAUGGUUGUCGUCAGCUCGUGUCGUGAGAUGUUGGGUUAAGUCCCGCAACGAGCGCAACCCUUAAGCUUAGUUGCCAUCAUUAAGUUGGGCACUCUAAGUUGACUGCCGGUGACAAACCGGAGGAAGGUGGGGAUGACGUCAAAUCAUCAUGCCCCUUAUGAUUUGGGCUACACACGUGCUACAAUGGACAAUACAAAGGGCAGCGAAACCGCGAGGUCAAGCAAAUCCCAUAAAGUUGUUCUCAGUUCGGAUUGUAGUCUGCAACUCGACUACAUGAAGCUGGAAUCGCUAGUAAUCGUAGAUCAGCAUGCUACGGUGAAUACGUUCCCGGGUCU
rnacentral:rRNA from 1 species